rnacentral:rRNA from 1 species
UGGGGAAUCUUAGACAAUGGGGGAAACCCUGAUCUAGCCAUGCCGCGUGAGUGACGAAGGCCCUAGGGUCGUAAAGCUCUUUCGCCAGGGAAGAUAAUGACGGUACCUGGUAAAGAAGUCCCGGCUAACUCCGUGCCAGCAGCCGCGGUAAUACGGAGGGGACUAGCGUUGUUCGGAAUUACUGGGCGUAAAGCGCGCGUAGGCGGAUUAGUCAGUCAGGGGUGAAAUCCCGGGGCUCAACCCCGGAACUGCCCUUGAUACUGCUAGUCUUGAGUUCGAGAGAGGUGAGUGGAAUUCCGAGUGUAGAGGUGAAAUUCGUAGAUAUUCGGAGGAACACCAGUGGCGAAGGCGGCUCACUGGCUCGAUACUGACGCUGAGGUGCGAAAGCGUGGGGAGCAAA